AAGAAAGGGGGAAGGAAGCUUUAUUGCCGCCAUUUCGCGUGAGACGACUGUAGAGACGACGACCGGAGCAAAACAAUAGAAUCCGCCAGAAUAAACCAAUUCGAGAUUUUAAAUUAACUAGCGGUGACCGUUCAACCCAAAGGUCGGGCUCAACGGGUUUUGACUUCUGCUGUGAGCAUGAGCUACGGAAGGGCGCCGCCAGACGUGGAGGGGAUGACCUCCCUGAAAGUGGACAACCUGACUUACCGAACUUCUCCGGAGACUCUGCGCCGAGUUUUCGAGAAGUACGGCCGCGUUGGAGACGUGUACAUCCCCCGCGACAGGUACACCAAGGAGAGCCGCGGGUUCGCCUUCGUGCGGUUCCACGACAAGCGCGACGCCGAGGACGCCAUGGACGCGAUGGACGGCGCGCUGCUCGACGGCCGGGAGCUCCGGGUGCAGAUGGCCCGCUACGGGAGACCCCCGGACUCCAUGUACAGCCGUAAAGGCGCUCCGCCGCGCAGGUCCGGAGGAGGUUAUGGCGGACGCAGAAGCAGGAGCCGUUCAGGCAGCCCUCGUCGCCGCAGACGGAGUCGCAGCCGCUCCAGGAGCAGAAGCCGCUCCAGGAGCCGCCACCACUACAGCCGCUCCAGGUCUCACUCCGAUUCCAGGUCACGGUCUAAAUCCAAGUCCAAAUCCAAGUCCAGGACCCCCAGACGGAGCAAGACAAAGUCUCCCUCCAGGUCUCGGUCCUCCAAGUCCAAGUCAAGAAGUCGAACCCCACCUUCCAACAGAGGGUCGAAAUCCAGGUCUCGCUCCAAAUCCAAGAGUAGGCCUAAAUCUCCAGAAGACAACGGAGCAGAGGCUUAAUCCAGACCUGCACACAACAUGACGGUAUUCAGGGAAAUGGGGGGGAUUUUAUUAUUGGCUUCAAAUAUUAUAUCUAAGAUGGCUUUCUGUCAUCACUUGGGUUGGUAUUCUACAGACUUGGUGCUACGUUACUCAUUUGCACACAAGCAACAAAGUCUGCAGAAUCCUGAAUAUUUUUAGACGUAAAAAAACAAAACAAAGUUUGCGGCUGACGUCCUUGUUCUGUUUGGGCUUUAGUUUGUUUGUAUUUUCAACCAAUCUACAGCACACACAGACCGCAGGAGAUUUGGGUAUCAUUUUGAUCUGCCGUAUCAUAUAUUUCAAACGGGGUGUGUACGGGAGGGACAUGGGGUGCUGCACUCAAAACGUUCACCUAAAUGUGGAAUUCUUUCCUCCAAGCUGCGGAGUCCUGUUUGCAAAGGGAGGAGGAGGAGAUGAUGUGGGUGUGGCAGUGUGAGAGCAGUUAGUGUGUGACCCGCCCAUGUGACCUGCCUGUUGCUGAGAGCGAUGGCAGUUGCUAAGGAGCAGGUCACCGAGGCAACGGUGGUUGCUAUGGAGCAGGUCGUCAAUGGCAGUGGUUCGGGCUGUCAGUUGGUGUAUGAGGUGGUGUGGUGAGGUACGUUCGCGGGGAUCACAGGCACUGAGCACUGUUCCCCACCUGUGCCUGUGGGUUCCUCCACCUCUCACAAAGGGAACGGACCCCGAGAUCUCCGAUGAUUGAGCCUUUGCUGAGGACAUCAGGAAGAGUCUCACAUUGAGCAAGUGGACUCCACUAUUACCACUGAAUGCAGACUGAAAGGUUAUUGGAGCUUGGUCUAAAAUGUUUUGAAUUUGACCUAAUUUACAUAAACAACAUUCUGUAACUUUGAUGUACUCAUUGUUUGUAAAGUUGAGCCUUUUGAAAGGGAUUUGUAAGAACAUUUUCUCAUUUUAAUUAUUUUGAUUACACUUGUACUUUUUUGGGGGGGAAUUAAUCUAGAUUUUAUUUAAUGAAAUCCCUUGUUUAACACUCUUUCUAGAUGCUUAUGAAAGAGUUUUAUUUGCAGGGUGUCCUGUUGGAUGUUCAAAGCCUUUACAGCUAUGUUAUACCACUCUGGCUUACUGUGAAGGCAAAAUAUUCAAAGUAUCACUGUGCCACUUAAUUCGUGAUUUGCUAAUCCAGCAGCAUACAUUUUCUUUUCUGAUAAAUCUAUUUUCUGUCUGGUUAAAGUUGCUUUCCUAUGACUCUAACCCUCUUUCUUGUGUAUCUUUUGUGCACUAGGCGCAGUUGUGUAGCAGUUGAGUAAUGCUGGUUAGCUGUUAAGAUGCGGUGCAGUGCGGUGGUGACAUGGUGUGGCGUGUUGCGGUGCUGAGUGCCCGGCGCUGUUCCGGGGCUCGACCCUCCGCUGCCGUUUGCCGGUUUGUAAGAUCACAGAUGUGGCAGAUCAUCCAUCCUCUCCUGUCUUGUGACCUUUCCUUCCAUCCAUGUGCUGUACAGAUUAUUUCCUCUUUCCUUUUUUCUCUUUAUUGUCACUCCCCCCCCCAAAUCUCCUCUUGUGGUUUAGCCACUGUUAUAACUGGUUCUGCUCUGCUCGCCAUUUUCAUUUUUUUUUUCUCCAUUGGGUCUAGUGUGACUCCUAGUGAAGGGUUUAAAGGGCAGUCUUUUCUGCUUAAUGAAUAUUUUGUGUGUAUUUUUUUUCCCCCCCAUGUGAACCUCUCAAAUGUCUUGUAAUUGCUUCAGGUGGAUGCUAAUAAACAUCUUUGUUGUUCAUAAA